GAGCCUGGCUCAGGAUGAACGCUGGCGGCGUGCUUAACACAUGCAAGUCGAACGAAGCGCUUAAGAUUGAUUCUUCGGAUGAAGUUUUUUGUGACUGAGUGGCGGACGGGUGAGUAACGCGUGGGUAACCUGCCUCAUACAGGGGGAUAACAGUUAGAAAUGACUGCUAAUACCGCAUAAGCGCACAGGGUCGCAUGACCUGGUGCGAAAAACUCCGGUGGUAUGAGAUGGACCCGCGU
rnacentral:rRNA from 1 species